rnacentral:ncRNA from 1 species
UAACGACAAAGGCAAACCCGGCGAAAGCCGGCGACGCAAAGCUAUGGGUCUAAGGGCUGUAUGCCUAUGACUGCCAGGCCGCCGAA